rnacentral:rRNA from 1 species
UGGCAGACGGGUGAGUAAUGUAUAGGAAUCUACCUAGUAGUACGGAAUAAUUGUUGGAAACGGCAACUAAUACCGUAUACGCCCUACGGGGGAAAAAUUUAUUGCUAUUAGAUGAGCCUAUAUUAGAUUAGUUAGUUGGUGAGGUAAAGGCUUACCAAGACAAUGAUCUAUAGCUGAUCUGAGAGGAUGAUCAGCCACACUGGAACUGANAUACGGUCCAGACUCCUACGGGAGG